ACGGGAGGCAGCAGUAAGGGAUAUUGGGCAAUGGGGGGAACCCUGACCCAGCCAUGCCGCGUGAGGGAAUGAGGCCCUACGGGUCGUGAACCUCUUUUGCCUGGGGAUAACCCCUCCCGCGUGACGGGGGGCUGCAGGUACCAGGCGAAUAAGCAUCGGCUAACUCCGUGCCAGCAGCCGCGGUAAUACGGAGGAUGCGAGCGUUAUCCGGAUUUAUUGGGUUUAAAGGGAGCGUAGGCGGCCUUUUAAGUCAGCGGUCAAAUGUCAGCGCCCAACGCUGGCCUGCCGUUGAUACUGAUGGGCUUGAAUACACACAAGGAAGGUGGAAUUCGUCGUGUAGCGGUGAAAUGCUUAGAUAUGACGAAGAACUCCGAUUGCGAAGGCAGCCUUCUGGAGUGCGAUUGACGCUGAGGCUCGAAAGCGCGGGUAUCAAACAGGAUUAGAUACCCUGGUA
rnacentral:rRNA from 1 species